GUCUUAUAUUCAAAUAUGAUCUUAAAUUGCAAAUUUAAAGGUGACAUAAGUCUAAGGCU
rnacentral:tRNA from 1 species